rnacentral:rRNA from 1 species
UACGUAGGGUGCAAGCGUUUAAUCGGAAUUACUGGGCGUAAAGCGUGCGCAGGCGGCUUUGCAAGACAAAUGUGAAAUCCCCGGGCUCAACCUGGGAACUGCAUUUGUGACUGCAUGGCUGGAGUGCGGCAGAGGGGGAUGGAAUUCCGCGUGUAGCAGUGAAAUGCGUAGAUAUGCGGAGGAACACCGGUGGCGAAGGCGGCUACCUGGACCGGUUCUGACGCUGAUGCGCGAAAGCGUGGGGAGCAAACAGGG